GGUUAACUUAAUUCCAAUUUCUCUCUUAGACGAUAUAUCACUUCUCUCACAGAAGAAACAACUCUCUCUCUCUCUCUCUCUCUCUCUCUCUUAAUUUCAAAACGACGGUGCUCUUUUUUCUCAUCGACGGUGCUCUCUCUCGACGAUGUGUUCUCUCAUCCACAACACUCUCUCUCUCUCUCUCUCUACGCACGAAGGUCGCUCUCUCUCGAUAGUGUUCUGUCUCAUGGAUGACGCUCUCUCUCAACACAUGAAAGACACUCUCUCUUGACAGUGUAUUAUUUCAUCGAUGAUUAUCUUGAUAGGGAAUGCAGUGGUGGUAUGUGGUGGAGUUGUGGUUGAAAUUGCAACUUGAAGGUGAUUUUAGAUAAGAAUUGGUGGCUUGAAUAAAAAUUUCAAAACGAGAACACCAGUUCUUGAGAAUGAAAUGAGGAUGAUGAAAGAUGCGAGAUUUAGCAGUCCAUUUGAGGAUGAGGCUGUACAUGAUUAUCGAUAAAUUGUGAAUUUUAUCGAUGAAGAUGACGUAGGAACUUCUGUUGGAGAUGCGGGACAUAACACUUCAUUUAAUGAUGAUGUCAAUGUUGUGAAAAAACAAUCAAAGUCUAUAUCCAACAUGGCUACAAGAAUUAAGAAGAAAUCAAGGAAGCUUCGAAAAAAGACUAGAAUGGAUUUGUAAAAUUAUUAGUGUUGUAUUGUAGAAUUUGAAAAUUUGUGUUCAAAAAAUGUGUUGUAUUACAGAGUUUGGAAGAAUUUGUGGUUUUGUUUUGUUUA